AAAACAUCGCCUCUUGCAAAGUAAUGAAUAAGAGGUCCCGCCUGCCCUGUGACUCUAAGUUUAACGGCCGCGGUAUUUUGACCGUGCGAAGGUAGCGCAAUCACUUGUCUUUUAAAUGGAGACCUGUAUGAAUGGCAUAACGAGGGCUUAGCUGUCUCCUUUCUCUAGUCAAUGAAAUUGAUCUCCCCGUGCAGAAGCGGGGAUAGAACCAUAAGACGAGAAGACCCUAUGGAGCUUUAGACGCCAAGACAGACCAUGUUAAACACCUCCUCAUAAGGAGCCCAAACCAAAUGGUCCCUGCCCUAGUGUCUUUGGUUGGGGCGACCGCGGGGAAACAUAAAACCCCCAUGUGGAAUGGGAGCACCCUCUCCUACAACUAAGAGCUACAGCUCUAAUGAACAGAAUUUCUGACCAACAAGAUCCGGCAAUGCCGAUCAACGGACCGAGUUACCCUAGGGAUAACAGCGCAAUCCCCUUUUAGAGCCCAUAUCGACAAGGGGGUUUACGACCUCGAUGUUGGAUCAGGACAUCCUAAUGGUGCAGCCGCUAUUAAGGGUUCGUUUGUUCAACGAUUAAAGUCCUACGUG
rnacentral:rRNA from 1 species